rnacentral:snRNA from 1 species
GUGCUCAGUUUGCCGGCACAUAUACUAAAGUUAGAACAAUAAAGAUUAGCAUGGCUCUGUGCCAGGAUGACACCAAAAUUCAUGAAGCAUUGCAUAUUUUA